rnacentral:rRNA from 1 species
UAGGGAAUCUUCGGCAAUGGGGGGAACCCUGACCGAGCAACGCCGCGCGAGUGAAGAAGGUUUUCGGAUCGUAAAGCUCUGUUGUUAAGGAAGAACGAGUGUGAGAAUGGAAAGUUCAUGCUGUGACGGUACUUAACCAGAAAGGGACGGCUAACUACGUGCCAGCAGCCGCGGUAAUACGUAGGUCCCGAGCGUUGUCCGGAUUUAUUGGGCGUAAAGCGAGCGCAGGCGGUUAGAAAAGUCUGAAGUGAAAGGCAGUGGCUCAACCAUUGUAGGCUUUGGAAACUGUUUACCUUGAGUACAGAAGGGGAGAGUGGAAGUCCAUGUGUCGCGGUGAGAUGCGUAGAUAUAUGGAGGACCACCGGAGGCGAAAGCGGCUCUCUGGUCUAUAACUGACGCUGAGGCUCGAAAGCGUGGGGAGCGAACAGG